AUUAUUGAAAGGUGCUUGCAUCUUGAUUUAAUGGUGAACGAGUGGCGGACGGGUGAGUAACACGUGGGUAACCUGCCCUUAAGUGGGGGAUAACAUUUGGAAACAGAUGCUAAUACCGCAUAAAUCCAAGAACCGCAUGGUUCUUGGCUGAAAGAUGGCGUAAGCUAUCGCUUUUGGAUGGACCCGCGGCGUAUUAGCUAGUUGGUGAGGUAACGGCUCACCAAGGCAAUGAUACGUAGCCGAACUGAGAGGUUGAUCGGCCACAUUGGGACUGAGACACGGCCCAAACUCCUACGGGAGGCAGCAGUAGGGAAUCUUCCACAAUGGACGCAAGUCUGAUGGAGCAAUGCCGCGUGAGUGAAGAAGGCUUUCGGGUCGUAAAACUCUGUUGUUGGAGAAGAAUGGUCGGCAGAGUAACUGUUGUCGGCGUGACGGUAUCCAACCAGAAAGCCACGGCUAACUACGUGCCAGCAGCCGCGGUAAUACGUAGGUGGCAAGCGUUAUCCGGAUUUAUUGGGCGUAAAGCGAGCGCAGGCGGUUUUUUAAGUCUGAUGUGAAAGCCCUCGGCUUAACCGAGGAAGUGCAUCGGAAACUGGGAAACUUGAGUGCAGAAGAGGACAGUGGAACUCCAUGUGUAGCGGUGAAAUGCGUAGAUAUAUGGAAGAACACCAGUGGCGAAGGCGGCUGUCUGGUCUGUAACUGACGCUGAGGCUC
rnacentral:rRNA from 1 species